AUUGAACGCUGGCGGCAGGCCUAACACAUGCAAGUCGAACGAGUGGCGGACGGGUGAGUAAUGUCUGGGAAACUGCCUGAUGGAGGGGGAUAACUACUGGAAACGGUAGCUAAUACCGCAUACCAUCGGAUGUGCCCAGAUGGGAUUAGCUAGUAGGUGGGGUAAAGGCUCACCUAGGCGACGAUCCCUAGCUGGUCUGAGAGGAUGACCAGCCACACUGGAACUGGGACACGGGCCAGAAUCCUAUGGGAGGCAGCAGUGGGGAAUAUUGCACAAUGGGCGCAAGCCUAAUACAGCCAUGCCGCGUGAAUGAAGAACGCCUUCGGGUUGUAAAGUACUGUCAGCGGGGAGGCGUUAACCGCAGAAGAAGCACCGGCUAUCACCGUGCCAGCAGCCGCGGUAAUUC
rnacentral:rRNA from 1 species